rnacentral:rRNA from 1 species
AUGCCACCUCAUGAACUCCUUGAACUUAAGGAGGAAAUUGACAAAUCUCUUCGCAAGGGUUUCAUUCGUCCAAGUUCCUCUGCUUGGGGAGCACCUUCUCUCUUUGUCAAGAAGAAGGACGGAACGAACCGUUUGGUCCAAGACUAUCGUCCUAUCAACCAAGCUACAAUUCAGAACAAAUAUCCCCUUCCUCGGAUCAAUGAUCUGUAUGAUCAACUGGCUGGUUCAUCGAUAUUCUCUAAACUCGACUUGAGGUUGGGUUACCACCAGAUCCGUGUUCGUGAAGAGGAUAUUCCAAAGACCGCAUUCGUCACUCGUUAUGGUUCUUACGAGUACACCGUCAUGUCUUUUGGCUUGACCAAUGCUCCAGCCACAUUCUCCCGUCUGAUGAACUACAUAUUCAUGGAAUACCUCGACAAGUUCGUCGUAUCUAUCUGGAUGAUAUCCUGGUAUAUUCGAAAAACAAAGAAGAACAUGUUGAACAUCUUCGACUUGUUCUAG